AUGCUUGUACUGCUCACAGAAUACCGACGCCAAGUCUUUCCAAGAUCGGAUCCUUUCCUUACUGAGCUGGUUGUACCACCGAAAAGCCGAUCCUACUAGACUGUCUUGAAAAUAAUGUACAAGUAGCUUAUCUUCGUUCACGUAACCGGUCAUUUUUCGGUAAAACAUGACAAGAUGUGCUUUUGGACAUCUUGUCCCAUCGUACUUUUCGAAAUCAGGC
rnacentral:lncRNA from 1 species